CAACAACAACAACUACCCAGUAUACUCCCACCAGGUGGGGUCUGGGGAAGGUAAUAUGUAGACAACCUUACCCCUACCCAAAAGGGCAGAGAGGCUGCUUCCAAGCGACCCUCGGCGCAUAGGACAGAAUGAAAAGCUGCAUUGGAAAACAAAGAUAAAGUUAGACAGCCUUACCCCUACCCAAAAGGGCAGAGAGGCUGCUU
rnacentral:lncRNA from 1 species